GACGAACGCUGGCGGCAGGCCUAACACAUGCAAGUCGAACGAGUGGCGGACGGGUGAGUAAUGUCUGGGAAACUGCCUGAUGGAGGGGGAUCACUACUGGAAACGGUAGCUAAUACCGCAUACCAUCAGAUGUGCCCAGAUGGGAUUAACUAGUUGGUGGGGUAACGGCUCACCAAGGCGACGAUCCCUAGCUGGUCUUAGAGGAUGACCAUCCACACUGGAACUGAGACACGCUCCAGACUCCUACGGGAGGCACCAGUUGGGAAUAUUGCACAAUGGGCGCAAGCCUGAUGCAGCCAUGCCGCGUGUAUGAAGAAGUCCUUCGGGUUGUAAAGUACUUUCAGCGGGGAGGCGUUACCCGCAGAAGAAGCACCGGCUAACUCCGUGCCAGCAGCCGCGGUAAUAC
rnacentral:rRNA from 1 species